CUUCAAAGGUCAGUUGUGGGGGAAGAGCAGGGGUGUCCUCUAUCUCCCAUGCUAUUUUUGCAUCCAAGGCUCCAACUAGCCCGACGGCUUUUCACAGGGGAGAUUGACUGACGCUUGAAUCGUCCUUCAUGCUCAAGAUUACAAGGUCGGCCUACGGUCUUGCAGUGAGAUUGGACCGAGACCAAGGAUGCAGCGGAAGGAUUGGCCAGGAACUCCAUUAUCUCAGCAGCAAGGAAUGAGAAAUGGAAUUAAAGCAUCCAAAACAAGGUGGGGGCUAAUAGUUUGGAGGAAACAGAAUAGAGCUAGCAUUCAGCAAUGG